rnacentral:lncRNA from 1 species
CUUGUUCAACCUUGCUUCUGUUUCUUGACCUGCUCCUUCAAAGACUUAAAACAAGUAGUUUCAGCCAUGAUCAGGGGGUAUUCAAGCAGCCAGAGUCAACCGCUUCAUACCAACAACUAUCAGGGACUCAAACAUUGGAGUCCAAAUUAAGUAUUGAUUUGGGAGAAAAAUGAACUAGAGAAGGAAAGAAUUAGUUCAAGAAUGAGGAAUGAUCAGAACGAGAGAAGAAGAAAGAGAUGCAGAGGGAAAGAUUGAC